rnacentral:lncRNA from 1 species
AGGCUGUUUGGAGGACGCUGCAGUGAUGGCCUUCUGGGGAGUGAGGGCUGGGUUUCGGAUAGGGAGGUGGGAGAUGGGGGGUCCUGAACUGCCUUUCCCGCCACGUCAGGACCCAGGGCCGGGGACAGCGGGCGUCUGGGGGGCUGCAUGGACGAUGGGGGAGGAUGUGCAGGCUGGCGGGGGAGGGGGUGGAGCGCAUGGGCUGCCUGGCCCUGUCUUGGGGACAUGAAGCCUGGUUUGCCAAGUGGGAACCGAGGGACAUGUGCUCCAAGAGACACAUCCAGGGACUGCAAUCAAUUUCCAAAGGGCCUUUUCUCCUUUCAGCGAUGCUGUUAAGAAAGGCAAUGAAUCAUGUGCCACAAGAAUCUUGAGAGAACCCACGAGCUUGGGAGCUGGUGACAGACCCCCAUUCGGAGCGCUCUCUGCACAGCUACACAGCGACCCCGCCCCCGCCUGCCCAUCAGGACGGCUCUGCAGCUGCAAAGGGCGAGUGCUUGGUUCCCAAGGCAGGGCCCAGCUCCAUGGUUCUCCUCGCCUCACUCUCCUCCGUGAGCCUCAGGGACCCGGUGGCCACAGCACCCUCAGUUCUCCCCAGAGUUGCUGUUCCCACCUCUGGCUGUGAGGAGCCCGCCUGGCACAGCUGCGUGAGUGCCGGGCGUCCUUGCCUGAAACAAACUGCAAUUCAGCGCAGGAUUCCAGGAUUCCAUGGCAACGUGCCCUGUGUUCCGGCCCCGGCUGGGGCUUGGGAGCAGCUGCUGUGUCAUGGGGGAUCCACUUGUUUACCGACAGCCCCAAGGACCCGGACAUGGUGCCAGCUUCCCAUGCCUUGGCCCUGAGAUCUGGGAGGCCCAUCGCGGCCGGUGCUUCCCCCAACCCCACUGAGCAUCUCCUUCCCGCCCUGUGUCCACCCACCUCCUGCCCAAGACCCCUGAGUGUUCGUGGGCUCUACCUGGUGGGAUGCUCUUUGGCUUGUAGACAGGGGUUGGUUGGCAGCAUAGUGUUCCCUAUCGAUGUCCACAUCCUAGUGGGAGCCUGUGACUACCUGGCUCGGGGGAUCCAGGUUGCAGAUGAAAUAAGGUUGGAUCAGCUGACUUUAAACUAGGGUGGUGACCCUGGAGCAUCCCGGGGGGCCCAGUGUAAUCACAAGGUCCUUAAAAGUGGAGGAGGGGCCAGCGUGGGGCUCACGCCUGCAAUCCCAGAGCUUUGGGAAGCCGAGGCAGCAGGAUCCCCUGAAUCCAGGAGUUCGAAGCCAGCCUGGGCAACAAAGUGAGACCGAGUCUUCAAAGCCAGCCUGAGCCACAUAGUGAGACUGAGUCCUGUCUCUACAAAAAGUAAACAAAAAUCAGCCGAGUGUAGUGGUGCACGCCUGUGGUCCCAGCUACUCAGGAGGCUGAGGUGGGAGGAUUGCUUGAGCCUAGGUCAAAGCUGCAGUGGCCAUGAUCACACCCCUGCACUCCAGCCUGGGUGACAGUGAGACCCUGUCAAAAAAAAAAAAAAAAAGUGGAGGAGGGAGGCAGGCGAGCCGGGCUCAGUGAGGAGGGCCCAGGCUGCAGUGGGUGCCAGAAUCUAUCCUGGAAAAAGGAAUGACAUGAACACGAGGGAAGCCCCGAAGGGCCAUUCAGUGCAGCACUGAGUGAGAGGGGACGUCCUCAAGGAGCCACGAGCCCUGGUGAUGAGGCCGUGGUGGGUGGGGGCCCAGCGGGUAGCAGGCGCCCCCUCUGUGUGCGCAGCGGGGCUGGUUGCUCCACAUAUCGCCCUGGUGCAUCCGAGUCCCGAGCUGCCACUCCUGCAGGCCUGCUCUAGGGCGGGGCGGGGCUUGCACAAGCAGCACCUGUAGGUCCCGAGUGCGUGGCUCCCCCAGCCCCAACACACCCCCCAGCCCAAGUGGUGGAGUAAAGGUCUCCGCACAUGGCCUUGGGGUGGGGUUAGGACCCCAGUCCCUGCCACCACCCAACAGGCAGGGCUUUGGGCAAGCUACUCAGUGCCCGAGACCCAAUUUCUGGUCGGCAGGUGAGAGGGGCCGGGGGGACAAGAGCCUGUUCCCAAGCUCUCCAGAAGUCAGGCCCCUGAGGUGGUGCAGUGUGGCUGACAUGACCAUCCCCACGGACCCUUGCCUCCCACUCGCCCCGCAGGACCAUGCCCAGGCCCGUUGCCUCUGCUGUGGCUUCCACAACAUUCCCCCUGGCUCCCAAUCCCUGCACGGACCUUGCUGCUUGGGAAAAACCUCAAGGGACAGGCCAUGACCUGCAGAGCAGAGUGUGAUCUGGAAACGGGAGCCUUUCAAGAAUUGGCCAGACGGGGACAGGCGUGGUGGCUCACGCUGGGAGGCUGAGGCAGGUGGAUCACCUGAGGUCAAAAGUUCGAAACCAGCCUGGCCAACAUGGCGAAACCCCGUCUCCACCAAAAAUAUAAAAAUUAGCUGGGUGUGGUGGUACAGACCUGUAAUCCCAGUUACUUGAGAGGCUGAGACAGGAGAAUCGCUUGAACCCAGGAGGUGGAGGUUGAGGUGAGCCAAGAUCGUGCCACUGCACUCCAGCCUGGGUGACAGCGUGCGAUUCCAUCUCAAAACAAAAAGCAAACCCAAAAAGAGUUGGCCAGAGGGAUGUGCAGAUGUGAUUAGGGCUAAGGACCCACACAGCCCGAGGUGGGUACGGCCCCUAGGCCUGGAAACACUUCUGGCCUGCAUGAGAAGUGGUGACGGUGGGCGUGGGUCAGAGGCCCUGAACUGGAGGAAGGGGCCACGAGCCAAGGAGAGUGGGGGCCUCCAGAAGUGGGGAGGAGCGGGGAAGCGGCUUCUCCCCCAGGAACUCUGACGUGGCCCAGAUUUCAAUGCAGACUUGAAUGGGGCCUCUAACCGUGAGAGGAUAACCGUCAUUUUAAAGAGAAAGACACGUGUCUGGCCUACGUCACAAGAUGGCUCUUGCCACACAGUACGCUCCCUGAUGUGGGGUCUGCGCCACAGGGCUGGGGGCACUGCCUGGGAGAAAAGGACCGAGACCUUUGCACACUCGACGUGCCAGGCCCCCUGUGGCCACAGUGCCUGCCUGGAGAGCACCCGGGACGCAGAGCUGCUGGUGGCCCUGGGGACAGCAGGGGGGACCCGGGCAACGUCCCCCCACCCCCCAGAGCUCUGCUCUGACCGAUGCCCCCCUGAGGUGGGGUGGGCAGUUUCCUUAAAGACACAGCCGCCAGCCGCGGAGUCUGCGCGUGUUGUUUACUGUUGGUCACUCUCUGCUCUUAGCUUCACAUUACCAUUUCGUGUUUUGUCAAAGUCCGUCUCAAUUCGCGUUUGGUAAAAUAAAUAGAUAAUGAGCCUCUAGGCCGGCGCUC